CCCUUCGUGGCGUAAUGGUUAACGCACUCGGCUCGUAUUUGAGAGGUUCACGUUCGAAUCUCGGAGAGGGCA
rnacentral:tRNA from 1 species